GUUUCAUCAAAUUUGUAGCAUGCAGAUACAGCUUUAGUUGAGAAAAGAGUUAAAAACAAAUGGCGCUGGGCAUGAAUAGAGGACAAGAGGAAAAGGGUGGAGAAGGGAUGCCGUUUAGCACUUGGUGCCUUGAAUUAGGGACCCGGCUGCAGCGUAUGUUAAAGGAAGAUACUCACUGUACGGC